AGCGAACGCUGGCGGCAGGCUUAACACAUGCAAGUCGAACGGGCGUAGCAAUACGUCAGUGGCAGACGGGUGAGUAACGCGUGGGAACGUACCUUUUGGUUCGGAACAACCCAGGGAAACUUGGGCUAAUACCGGAUAAGCCCUUACGGGGAAAGAUUUAUCGCCGAAAGAUCGGCCCGCGUCUGAUUAGCUAGUUGGUGUGGUAACGGCGCACCAAGGCGACGAUCAGUAGCUGGUCUGAGAGGAUGAUCAGCCACAUUGGGACUGAGACACGGCCCAAACUCCUACGGGAGGCAGCAGUGGGGAAUAUUGGACAAUGGGCGCAAGCCUGAUCCAGCCAUGCCGCGUGAGUGAUGAAGGCCCUAGGGUUGUAAAGCUCUUUUGUGCGGGAAGAUAAUGACGGUACCGCAAGAAUAAGCCCCGGCUAACUUCGUGCCAGCAGCCG
rnacentral:rRNA from 1 species